rnacentral:rRNA from 1 species
GAUGAACGCUGGCGGCGUGCUUAACACAUGCAAGUCGAACGAUGAAGCCCAGCUUGCUGGGUGGAUUAGUGGCGAACGGGUGAGUAACACGUGAGUAACCUGCCCUUAACUCUGGGAUAAGCCUGGGAAACUGGGUCUAAUACCGGAUAGGAGCGUCCACCGCAUGGUGGGUGUUGGAAAGAUUUAUCGGUUUUGGAUGGACUCGCGGCCUAUCAGCUUGUUGGUGAGGUAAUGGCUCACCAAGGCGACGACGGGUAGCCGGCCUGAGAGGGUGACCGGCCACACUGGGACUGAGACACGGCCCAGACUCCUACGGGAGGCAGCAGUGGGGAAUAUUGCACAAUGGGCGCAAGCCUGAUGCAGCGACGCCGCGUGAGGGAUGGCGGCCUUCGGGUUGUAAACCUCUUUCAGUAGGGAAGAAGCGAAAGUGACGGUACCUGCAGAAGAAGCACCGGCUAACUACGUGCCAGCAGCCGCGGUAAUACGUAGGGUGCGAGCGUUAUCCGGAAUUAUUGGGCGUAAAGAGCUCGUAGGCGGUUUGUCGCGUCUGUCGUGAAAGUCCGGGGCUUAACCCCGGAUCUGCGGUGGGUACGGGCAGACUAGAGUGCAGUAGGGGAGACUGGAAUUCCUGGUGUAGCGGUGGAAUGCGCAGAUAUCAGGAGGAACACCGAUGGCGAAGGCAGGUCUCUGGGCUGUAACUGACGCUGAGGAGCGAAAGCAUGGGGAGCGAACAGG